rnacentral:rRNA from 1 species
GACGAACGCUGGCGGCGUGCCUAAUACAUGCAAGUCGAGCGGAGCGGCGGACGGGUGAGUAAUGCCUAGGAAUCUGCCUGGUAGUGGGGGAUAACGUCCGGAAACGGGCGCUAAUACCGCAUACUAUCAGAUGAGCCUAGGGCGGAUUAGCUAGUUGGUGGGGUAAAGGCAUACCAAGGCGACGAUCCGUAACUGGUCUGAGAGGUUGAUCAUUCACACUGGAACGGAGACACGGUCCAUCCUCCUACGGGAGGCAGCGUUGGGUACUAUUGGACAAUGGGCGAAAGCCUGAUCCAGCCAUGCCGCGUGUGUGAAGAAGGUCUUCGGAUUGUAAAGCACUUUAAGUUGGGAGGCGUUACCAACAGAAUAAGCACCGGCUAACUUCGUGCCAGCAGCCGCGGUAAUUC